rnacentral:misc_RNA from 1 species
GAUGAAGAACGUAGCGAAAUGCGAUAAGUAAUGUGAAUUGCAGAAUUCAGUGAAUCAUCGAAUCUUUGAACGCACAUUGCGCCCGCCAGUAUUCUGGCGGGCAUGCCUGUUCGAGCGUCAUUUCAACCCUCAGGCCCCCAGUGCCUGGUGUUGGGGAUCGGCCCAGCCUUCCUGUAAGGCCGCCGGCCCCGAAAUCUAGUGGCGGUCUCGCUGUAGUCCUCCUCUGCGUAGUAGCACAACCUCGCAGUUGGAACGCGGCGGUGGCCAUGCCGUUAAACACCCCACUUCUGAAAGUUGACCUCGGAUCAGGUAGGAAUACCCGCUGAACUUAAGCAUAUCAAAGCGGAGGA